rnacentral:rRNA from 1 species
UAAAUCGAGAGGGUAUGAUCCCGGCUCAGGGCGAACGCUGGCGGCGUGCCUAACACAUGCAAGUCGUGCGACGGCUCGCCCCAAAAGGGCGGGUACGGAGCGGCAAACGGGUGAGUAACACGU